rnacentral:rRNA from 1 species
GAUGAACGCUGGCGGCGUGCCUAAUACAUGCAAGUCGAGCGAACAGAUGAGGAGCUUGCUCCUCUGACGUUAGCGGCGGACGGGUGAGUAACACGUGGAUAACCUACCUAUAAGACUGGGAUAACUUCGGGAAACCGGAGCUAAUACCGGAUAAUAUAUUUAACCGCAUGGUUCAAUAGUGAAAGACGGUUUUGCUGUCACUUAUAGAUGUAUCCGCGCCGCAUUAGCUAGUUGGUAAGGUAACGGCUUACCAAGGCAACGAUGCGUAGCCGACCUGAGAGGGUGAUCGGCCACACUGGAACUGAGACACGGUCCAGACUCCUACGGGAGGCAGCAGUAGGGAAUCUUCCGCAAUGGGCGAAAGCCUGACGGAGCAACGCCGCGUGAGUGAUGACGGUCUUCGGAUCGUAAAACUCUGUUAUUAGGGAAGAACAAAUGUGUAAGUAACUACGCACGUCUUGACGGUACCUAAUCAGAAAGCCACGGCUAACUACGUG